rnacentral:rRNA from 1 species
GUUGACCUCGGAUCAGGUAGGAAUACCCGCUGAACUUAAGCAUAUCAAUAGGAAGGAGGAA